rnacentral:lncRNA from 10 species
GGGGCAGGGGCAGGAACUGGUGGAAGAGCUGACAGCAAGGGGAGUGGCCAAACGGAGGCGGGGCCUGGAAGGGGGCGUGGCUUGCGGGCCUCUGGGCCGCCCGGCCUCUUUAGGUGCCGCAGCGGAAGGCCUGGAGCAGAGGCUGCUUCUCCGCCCAAGCACUCCCUGGCCCCGUCACCACUGUCAUGGUUCAGAGGCUCAUCAUCCCCUGCAUGCAUCAGUGCCUCGGCCCCCUAACGGGUCUCCCCACUGCUGAGCUCUUCCUCUCCGCUCCAUCCUUCACACAGCAGGCAGAGUGAUCUUUCAGAAACAUGCAUAUGAUCCUGUCAAGCCUUCGCUGAAAAGCCUUCAGUGUCAAUGUGCUUUCUAACCGCAGUUGUUCUCCGCCUCUGGUGUCAUGACACACUUGUUUGUCAUAUCAAUUCUGAGGCAGAUUCAUCCAUCCACCCAUUCAACAACUAUUUAUUGAACGCCUACUCUGUGUCAGUUAUUGUUGUAGGUGUUUGGGGGUACACCAGUAAACAAACAAACAAAAAUCUCUGCAUAUUGCCAGAAACUUGAUACUAGCAAGAGUUAAAGCCCUCAAGAUCGUGAAUAAUUUGACUAUUAUGGUGGAUGCAU